ACCCUUCAGAUACCUUAUCCCUCAGAUCUAAACAUGGGUCCAAGUGGCUGAAAAAGAAGGAAAAGCAAAACUGAAGUGGACUUGGAGCCUUUCAUAACUUACAAGUUCAUUUCAAACAUGG
ensembl:snoRNA